GGCGGACGGGUGAGUAAUGUCUGGGAAACUGCCUGAUGGAGGGGGAUAACUACUGGAAACGGUGGCUAAUACCGCAUAACGUCGCAAGACCAAAGAGGGGGACCUUCGGGCCUCUUGCCAUCAGAUGUGCCCAGAUGGGAUUAGCUAGUUGGUGAGGUAACGGCUCACCAAGGCGACGAUCCCUAGCUGGUCUGAGAGGAUGACCAGCCACACUGGAACUGAGACACGGUCCAGACUCCUACGGGAGGCAGCAGUGGGGAAUAUUGCACAAUGGGCGCAAGCCUGAUGCAGCCAUGCCGCGUGUAUGAAGAAGGCCUUCGGGUUGUAAAGUACUUUCAGCGGGGAGGAAGGUGUUGUGGUUAAUAACCGCAGCAAUUGACGUUACCCGCAGAAGAAGCACCGGCUAACUCCGUGCCAGCAGCCGCGGUAAUACGGAGGGUGCAAGCGUUAAUCGGAAUUACUGGGCGUAAAGCGCACGCAGGCGGUCUGUCAAGUCGGAUGUGAAAUCCCCGGGCUCAACCUGGGAACUGCAUUCGAAACUGGCAGGCUUGAGUCUUGUAGAGGGGGGUAGAAUUCCAGGUGUAGCGGUGAAAUGCGUAGAGAUCUGGAGGAAUACCGGUGGCGAAGGCGGCCCCCUGGACAAAGACUGACGCUCAGGUGCGAAAGCGUGGGGAGCAAACAGGAUUAGAUACCCUGGUAGUCCACGCCGUAAACGAUGUCUACUUGGAGGUUGUGCCCUUGAGGCGUGGCUUCCGGAGCUAACGCGUUAAGUAGACCGCCUGGGGAGUACGGCCGCAAGGUUAAAACUCAAAUGAAUUGACGGGGGCCCGCACAAGCGGUGGAGCAUGUGGUUUAAUUCGAUGCAACGCGAAGAACCUUACCUGGUCUUGACAUCCACAGAAGAAUCCAGAGAUGGAUUUGUGCCUUCGGGAACUGUGAGACAGGUGCUGCAUGGCUGUCGUCAGCUCGUGUUGUGAAAUGUUGGGUUAAGUCCCGCAACGAGCGCAACCCUUAUCCUUUGUUGCCAGCGGUCCGGCCGGGAACUCAAAGGAGACUGCCAGUGAUAAACUGGAGGAAGGUGGGGAUGACGUCAAGUCAUCAUGGCCCUUACGACCAGGGCUACACACGUGCUACAAUGGCGCAUACAAAGAGAAGCGACCUCGCGAGAGCAAGCGGACCUCAUAAAGUGCGUCGUAGUCCGGAUUGGAGUCUGCAACUCGACUCCAUGAAGUCGGAAUCGCUAGUAAUCGUGGAUCAGAAUGCCACGGUGAAUACGUUCCCGGGCCUUGUACACACCGCCCGUCACACCAUGGGAGUGGGUUGCAAAAGAAGUAGGUAGCUUAACCUUCGGGAGGGCGCUUACCACUUUGUGAUUCAUGACUGGGGUGAAGUCGUAACAAGGUAACCGUAGGGGAACCUGCGGUUGGAUCACCUCCUUACCUUAAAGAA
rnacentral:rRNA from 1 species